rnacentral:rRNA from 1 species
GUAGGGAAGUCUUCGGCAAUGGACGAAAGUCUGACCGAGCAACGCCGCGUGAGUGAAGAAGGUUUUCGGAUCGUAAAACUCUGUUGGUAGAGAAGAACGUUGGUGAGAGUGGAAAGCUCAUCAAGUGACGGUAACUACCCAGAAAGGGACGGCUAACUACGUGCCAC